ACAAAACAACAAAAACCGUGGGAGCUCAAUUCACUAUGCCAAAAGGAAAAAAUUAAGCAAAAAGCUGAGUCAUGCAAGAAACUGCCUUUCUCUAUGUCCCUAAGCAGAUAGCUACAGAUAAAAGGUUAAAUGUCCCCACAGGUAGCUGCUCUGUCCUCACCUUAUCUUACUGAAGUGCUGAUUUACACAGCAGGAGGCAAAUACAUAAUUGACUAUUCCCCUGCCUGUUCCUUUUUCUAUUUGUGCAAUGUGUGGAUUCAGUAAUGACCAUGUUCUCCCUCUUUCCCCUCCAGCCCGCUCCUCCCUUUUAAAUAUUGAAGCCCUCAAAAUCAUCUUUAGAUAAAGGCACAGACCUCCCUCCCAAGCAUGUCCUUAACCUUGGCAAAAUAAACUUCCAAAUUGAUUGAGAGCUGGUUUUGGUUUACAAGCUGGCAGCCAAAGGAAGUGACUCAGUGGAGGUGGCCCUGACCUUUGACAAAUCUAUCAGUGCUUGGUACCAGCUUGGGCUAUUUUUAUUGCUCAAACAGGACAAUUUGCUGAGGCCUGGGAGCACCCCACUCCAGAGAAUCCCUGAUGUCCCAAAAUUUGGUUGAGAUCUAAAGUUUAUUUUGCUGUACACCUCUUUGUCUGCAGUUUUACUUACUCCCAACAAAGAAGGUGCGUUUUCCUGCCUCCAUGACGAUGGAGGGGAGGCAACUCCUUUCUGGAAUUUCAUCUGGCUUCCAGCAGGGAAGGUAAGGAAGCAUGACAGUUGCCCUGACGGCUCCCUGUACCACAUUCAUCACAGCAGAACCUCGUAAUGAAGCUGGAUUUGAGGGCAACACACCCCCUUUAUUGGCUACACACACACUAUCAAGACAAUUCAACUUAGCUACAUUAUACAAACAAGAUUAAGAAGACCCCCAGGAGCAGAAGCCCUCGCCGCAGCACCAGCUGUUUCCUGGACAAUUUAGCGCCGUCCUGUGGAUGUUCCGGCAAAGGUUCUUCUUGGCGCAUCUGCUGAUCUGACUGAGGCUCGCCUGUCUUUCCAACAUC
rnacentral:lncRNA from 10 species